UACAACCAUAUCAUGCCGAAACACCAGUUCUCAUAUGAUCACUGAAGUUAAGCAAAGUCAAGCCUGGUUAGUACCUAAAUGGGUGGCCUCUUGGGAAUACCAGGUGCUAU